rnacentral:rRNA from 1 species
UGGGGAAUAUUGGACAAUGGAGGAAACUCUGAUCCAGCAAUUCUGUGUGUGUGAAGAAGGUUUUAGGACUGUAAAACACUUUUAGUAGGGAAGAAAAAAAUGACGGUACCUACAGAAGAAGCAACGGCUAAAUACGUGCCAGCAGCCGCGGUAAUACGUAUGUUGCGAGCGUUAUCCGGAAUUAUUGGGCUUAAAGGGCAUCUAGGCGGUAAGACAAGUUGAAGGUGAAAACCUGUGGCUCAACCAUAGGCUUGCCUACAAAACUGUUGAACUAGAGUACUGGAAAGGUGGGUGGAACUACACGAGUAGAGGUGAAAUUCGUAGAUAUGUGUAGGAAUGCCGAUGAUGAAGGUAACUCACUGGACAGAAACUGACGCUGAAGUGCGAAAGAUAGGGGAGCAAACAGG